rnacentral:rRNA from 1 species
GAUGAACGCUGGCGGUAUGCUUAACACAUGCAAGUCGAACGGACUCUUCGGAGUUAGUGGCGGACGGGUGAGUAACGCGUGAGAAUCUGGCUUUGGGUUCGGGACAACCACUGGAAACGGUGGCUAAUACCGGAUGUGCCGAGAGGUAAAAGAGAAAUUGCCUGAAGAUGAGCUCGCGUCUGAUUAGCUAGUUGGUGAGGUAAAGGCUCACCAAGGCAGCGAUCAGUAGCUGGUCUGAGGGGAUGACCAGCCACACUGGGACUGAGACACGGCCCAGACUCCUACGGGAGGCAGCAGUGGGGAAUUUUCCGCAAUGGGCGAAAGCCUGACGGAGCAAUACCGCGUGAGGGAAGAAGGCUCUUGGGGUGUAAACCUCUUUUCUUAGGGAAGAACAAAAUGACGGUACCUAAGGAAUCAGCAUCGGCUAACUCCGUG